AAAAAAGAAGAUUAAAAAAUAUUUGCAAUUAUUAACGGCAUUUUCUCUCUGAAGUGUUUGAUGCUCGUUCCAGCAACCAAUAACUGUAUUAUUCACGAGACCGAAGAAAAGGAUGCCAUUUUUCGAUAUUGCUUUAGCGGUUGAUUGAGUGUUGAAAAUAUUUUGGACUCUGAAAUUAAUAAAAAUGUGGAAUUAAGCAAAAAUAUAUAGAAGCAAGAUGAUAGUGUGAUGGAGACAACUUGAAACAAUCUGGAUAUUCUUAAUCAAAAAGAGAGGACUGUAAUAAGGACUGUUCGUCAUGGGAUUAAGUGCAUUUCCAUCUUGUACAGUGAAACUUUCUCCUUCAAUCGUCAUUUUGGUAUAUCUGGGAUCGUAAUCGAAUGUGUUGGAAGUCAAUCGAUGGAAAGAAUCGUCGGAAUUUUGGUAGACGAUUAAAUCAUCACCACUAUGGUUUGCUACAUACACCUAUAUCAUUAUUAUCACAAGUAUUCAUAGGAUCCAUAGCUUGAAGAACUAAAGAUACUAAUCCUCCGUUUCCUAUGGUGGUAUUUACGGCAAUAUCGUGCACUAUCUCGACUUGUUUGAGCAAUGGUGAAGUAUUGAGAUCAAAGGCAAGCAA